UACAGAGGGUGCGAGCGUUAAUCGGAAUUACUGGGCGUAAAGCGUGCGCAGGCGGUGCGUUAAGACAGGAGUGAAAGCCCCGAGCUUAACUUGGGAAUUGCGCUUGUGACUGGCGUGCUGGAGUGUGGCAGAGGGAGGUGGAAUUCCACGUGUAGCAGUGAAAUGCGUAGAGAUGUGGAGGAACACCGAUGGCGAAGGCAGCCUCCUGGGCCAGCACUGACGCUCAUGCACGAAAGCGUGGGGAGCAAACAGG
rnacentral:rRNA from 1 species